GACGAACGCUGGCGGCGUGCCUAAUACAUGCAAGUCGAGCGAGUCUGCCUUGAAGAUCGGAGUGCUUGCACUCUGUGAAACAAGAUACAGGCUAGCGGCGGACGGGUGAGUAACACGUGGGUAACCUGCCCAAGAGAUCGGGAUAACACCUGGAAACAGAUGCUAAUACCGGAUAACAACAGAUGAUGCCUAUCAACUGUUUAAAAGAUGGUUCUGCUAUCACUCUUGGAUGGACCUGCGGUGCAUUAGCUAGUUGGUAGGGUAACGGCCUACCAAGGCGAUGAUGCAUAGCCGAGUUGAGAGACUGAUCGGCCACAUUGGGACUGAGACACGGCCCAAACUCCUACGGGAGGCAGCAGUAGGGAAUCUUCCACAAUGGACGCAAGUCUGAUGGAGCAACGCCGCGUGAGUGAAGAAGGGUUUCGGCUCGUAAAGCUCUGUUGUUGGUGAAGAAGGACAGGGGUAGUAAC
rnacentral:rRNA from 1 species